GACGUAGGGCGCAAGCGUUUGUCCGGAUUUAUUGGGCGUAAAGAGCUCGUAGGCGGCUUGUUGCGUCGACCGUGAAAACCCGUGGCUCAACUGCGGGCUUGCGGUCGAUACGGGCGGGCUAGAGUUCGGUAGGGGAGACUGGAAUUCCUGGUGUAGCGGUGAAAUGCGCAGAUAUCAGGAAGAACACCGAUGGCGAAGGCAGUUCUCGUGGGACGGUACUGACGCGUGAGGAGCGAAAGCAUGGGGAGCGAACAGG
rnacentral:rRNA from 1 species